rnacentral:rRNA from 1 species
AGAGUUUGAUCCUGGCUCAGGAUGAACGCUAGCGGUAGGCUUAACACAUGCAAGUCGAGGGGCAGCACGGUAGCAAUACUGGUGGCGACCGGCGCACGGGUGAGUAACGCGUAUGCAAUCUACCUUUAACUGGGGAAUAGCUUCGAGAAAUCGGAAUUAAUGCCCCAUAAUAUUAACGAAUCGCAUGGUUUGUUAAUUAAAGCUCCGGCGGUUAAAGAUGGGGAUGCGGGCUAUUAGUUUGUUGGUGAGGUAACGGCUCACCAAGACUACGAUAGAUAGGGGGUCUGAGAGGAUGAUCCCCCACACUGGUACUGAGACACGGACCAGACUCCUACGGGAGGCAGCAGUGAGGAAUAUUGGUCAAUGGGCGCAAGCCUGAACCAGCCAUACCGCGUGAAGGAUGAAGGCUCUAGUAGUCGUAAACUUCUUUUAUAUGGGAAGAAAUCUACUCUCGUGAGAGUAGUUGACGGUACCAUAAGAAUAAGCACCGGCUAACUCCGUGCCAGCAGCCGCGGUAAUACGGAGGGUGCAAGCGUUAUCCGGAUUUAUUGGGUUUAAAGGGUACGUAGGCGGAAUAUUAAGUCAGUGGUGAAAGCCUGCAGCUUAACUGUAGAAUUGCCAUUGAUACUGUUAUUCUUGAAUGUGGUUGAAGUAGGCGGAAUAUGACAUGUAGCGGUGAAAUGCAUAGAUAUGUCAUGGAACACCAAUUGCGAAGGCAGCUUACUAAACCAUGAUUGACGCUGAGGGACGAAAGCGUGGGUAGCGAACAGGAUUAGAUACCCUGGUAGUCCACGCCGUAAACGAUGAUCACUAGUUGCUGGCGAUACACUGUCAGUGACCAAGCGAAAGUUAUAAGUGAUCCACCUGGGGAGUACGGUCGCAAGAAUGAAACUCAAAGGAAUUGACGGGGGCCCGCACAAGCGGAGGAACAUGUGGUUUAAUUCGAUGAUACGCGAGGAACCUUACCUGGACUUAAAUGUAGAUUGACCGGUUUAGAAAUAGAUCUUUCCUUCGGGACAAUUUACAAGGUGCUGCAUGGUUGUCGUCAGCUCGUGCCGUGAGGUGUCGGGUUAAGUCCCAUAACGAGCGCAACCCCUAUCGUUAGUUGCUAGCGAGUCAAGUCGGGGACUCUAACGAGACUGCCGGUGUAAACCGCGAGGAAGGUGGGGAUGACGUCAAAUCAGCACGGCCCUUAUGUCCAGGGCUACACACGUGUUACAAUGGCCAGUACAAAGGGCAGCUACUUGGUGACAAGAUGCUAAUCUCUAAAGCUGGUCUCAGUUCGGAUAGAAGUCUGCAAUUCGACUUCGUGAAGUUGGAUUCGCUAGUAAUCGCACAUCAGCUACGGUGCGGUGAAUACGUUCCCGGGCCUUGUACACACCGCCCGUCAAACAAUGGAAGCUGGGGGUGCCUGAAGUCUGUAACCGUAAGGAGCGGCCUAGGGUAAAACUAGUGACUAGGGCUAAGUCGUAACAAGGUAACC